rnacentral:rRNA from 1 species
CAUGCCGCGUGUGUGAAGAAGGCUUUCGGGUUGUAAAGCACUUUCAGUGAGGAAGAAGGCCUUGGGGCGAAUACCCCCGAGGAAGGACAUCACUCACAGAAGAAGCACCGGCUAACUCCGUGCCAGCCACGGCGGUGACUGAGCGGGCUGGCAAGGCGCAUA